GAUGAAGAACGCAGCAAAAUGCGAUAAGUAAUGUGAAUAGCAGAAUUCAGUGAAUCAUCGAAUCUUUGAACGCACAUUGCGCCCGCCAGUAUUCUGGCGGGCAUGCCUGUUCGAGCGUCAUUUCAACCCUCAAGCACAGCUUGGUGUUGGGACUCGCGUUAAUUCGCGUUCCUCAAAUUGAUUGGCGGUCACGUCGAGCUUCCAUAGCGUAGUAGUAAAACCCUCGUUACUGGUAAUCGUCGCGGCCACGCCGUUAAACCCCAACUUCUGAAUGUUGACCUCGGAUCAGGUAGGAAUACCCGCUGAACUUAAGCAUAUCAAUAAGCGGAGGA
rnacentral:misc_RNA from 1 species